UACGUAGGGGCCUAGCGUUGUCCGGAAUUAUUGGGCGUAAAGAGCUCGUAGGCGGCGCGGUAAGUCGGGUGUGAAAUCUCGGAGCUUAACUCCGAAACUGCAUUCGAUACUGCCGUGCUUGAGGACUGGAGAGGAGACUGGAAUUUACGGUGUAGCGGUGAAAUGCGUAGAUAUCGUAAGGAAGACCAGUGGCGAAGGCGGGUCUCUGGACAGUUCCUGACGCUGAGGCACGAAGGCCAGGGGAGCAAACGGG
rnacentral:rRNA from 1 species